ACGAGUUUGACAUGGGGUUGAUGCUGGCCUUCCGAGGCAUGUGCUCACUCCUGCUCAUCCAUCUACACCUGUGCACCUUUUGUGGCUAGGCCUUACAGUUCAUGUUCUGCAUGGGCUGGAAGCCGGCUGCGUUUUUUUAUACACACACUUUAGUUCAGAAUGUACUAUUGCUAUAAACGCAUUAAAUA
rnacentral:misc_RNA from 1 species